AUAAUACCCCAUAGUCUAUGGAGACUGGAAUGUCCUAUAGAUAAAAGAUUCAUCGCCUUAGGAUGGGUCUGCGGCCGAUUAGGUAAUUGUUGGGGUAACGGCCCAACAAGCCAUUGAUCGGAACGGGUUGUGGGAGCAAGAGCCCGGAGAUGGAUUCUGAGACACGAAUCCAGGCCCUACGGGGCGCAGCAGGCGCGAAAACUUUACAAUGCGGGAAACCGUGAUAAGGGAACUCCGAGUGCCCGUAAACGCGGGCUGUCCAUCUGCUUAAAAAACAGGUGAAGAAAGGGCCGGGCAAGACCGGUGCCA
rnacentral:rRNA from 1 species